UUGUGUGAUCAUUCAUAAUUUGGUUCAAGAUCUUUAGAACAAGUUCAAAUACAAAUGUACCAAUGUUUUUGAGACCCCUAAUUGUUAACACGUAUUAAAGAGUGGGUAAAAAGGGGAUGUAACAGUUACUUCAGGCUGUUCUUCAAGACCACAAAUUCCAUGAGCAUUGUAGAGAGUAUUUUAAAUGUAAUUUUAUACAAUAGUUGAUAAACCUAUUCCACAAAAAUGCAUCCAACCAUAUUUCGAAGUCUCUUUUUUCUCUUUUUGGUUCUACAGGGGUGAGGGUU